GCACAGAUGCCCGAGCGGUCUAAGGGGUCGCACUCAAGAUGCGAUGUAGCAAUACGCGUGGGUUCAAAUCCCACUCUGUGCA